GUCAUGAUCCAGCCGCGAGGGGGCGCUAUAGGGGGGAAGCCUCGCAUGAUCAUGUGAUCAGGCUGCAACUGGUGGUUGUCCUUCAACUUCAACAAGGAACCGAGAACCCGCUGGGAGAGGGAAUCUGCCGAUCCUAGCUCCUGUUCGCCCCGUGGACUGGAGAGGAGGGAGACGGAGUCAGAGAGAGGAUGGGUAAGCAGACCAAUUGCGGGAGGCAGUGCAGUGCUUCGAUGGUGGAGUGGGCUGCUGGAGGCCCUGCAGCAGACGAGGGCUAGUCUGAACUGGGCGCAGCUCCAAGAGGCCUAGCACAUGGAUGGGACGUGGCUUGCUUUGGAACAGAACGGUGGAGCAGCGGUGGAGGACAUCAAAGGCUGUGCUUUGCCAGGCUGACCCUGCAACGCCGCCAGGACAAUGGGCCUUCAUGGUCAGGUUAACAUAUAACAACUGGGAGUUGAAAAUGGCGCUAAAUCUAGCGACUCUGUUUACUAUCUCAGUGUACUAAUACUAUACACGUGUACUGUAUCUGGGAUGCUUAUCUAAGAUGUAUAUGUAAGUGCUUAUGUAUAGUGAUAAUUCUACUGAACUGUAGCGGUGGCGCAGCAUCUGUCCAAUGUCCAAUCAAAAUGCCAUUUUCACUAUCAUUCCCACAAUCAGCAAUACACCAUUAAAUAGAACCACAUUUCUAUUUGUCAAUUUUCUGACAUUUUUUCCUAAACUCUUUCAUUUUCUAGGUAUCAUUUUCAGUUUUGCUUUCCUUCUGAAUCUUCACUUAGCUUCCCUAUCUGCCUGCAAACGUAAUGGAUCCCCUGUCAAGGUGCGGCAUAUCUCAACUAUAUAAUUGGAUUGAAUCCCCCAGGAAUCUAAAACGGUUCCUCAUUCAUCUCAUCUCCAAUCAUGUAUUCGGCACAAUCCUAUUUCUCUACCACCAGGAGUAAUCCAAAGCCUUUGAAGUUCAGCUUUAUCUUUCUCCUAAACUGAUUUAUUAUUUUUUUACAUCUGAUUCCUGCCAAUAUCAUCCUUGAAAAACAAAGAAGUAAUUUCAGAUGUUUCUGGAUAAAAUGGUACAGCAUUUCUUGCUUAACUCAAUUUACCUAGUUUUUAAUAUGGAUUCAUUCAAAAUUUAAAAUGGUUAGAUUUCAUAGAAGAGUUUUGAAAAUAUGUCAUGAAGAAAAAUAAACAUGAAAAUUCUCAA